rnacentral:rRNA from 1 species
AGAGAGAGACAUGCGCGCAUAUCAAUAAGCGGAGGAAAAGAAACUAACAAGGAUUCCCCUAGUAACGGCGAGUGAAGCGGGAAGAGCUCAAAUUUGAAAUCUUAAAGGGUUUCCCUUUACGAAUUGUAGUUUAAAGAAGUGUUUUCUGUUGAGGUUUUGGUAAAAGUUCUUUGGAAUAGGACAUCAUAGAGGGUGAGGAUCCCGUAUUUGACCUUUACUUUCAACUUUGUGAUACACUUUCAAAGAGUCGGAUUGUUUGGGAAUGCAGUCCAAAAUGGGUGGUAAAUUUCAUCUAAAGCUAAAUAUUGGCGAGAGACCGAUAGCGAACAAGUACCGUGAGGGAAAGAUGAAAAGAACUUUGAAAAGAGAGUUAAACAGUACGUGAAAUUGUCAAAAGGGAAGCGUUUGACACCAGUGUUGUUUUUCUGAAAAUCAAUUAAAGAACUGUUUAUGCUAAGUUGUUUAGACUUUAUCAGCUAACUGUUUAGUUUUGAGCUUUUCUUUAAUGCACUUUUCAGUUAACAAGUCAACAUCAAUUUCUUUUGCUGUAAAAAAGCUUGAGGAAGGUGGCUUGAGAUUCGUCUUAAGUGUUUAUAGCCUCUUGCCUAUGCAGUCGGAGAGAUUGAGGUCUGCAGCGUAGAUCCUUCGGGGCUAAAUGCAUUUGUGCUAAGUUAUAGCAUUUUAUAGACAACUUGUUGACUAUGAUUUGUCUUGUAGCUUACUCGCUUAUGUUAUUUUACCUACGCUUAGGAUGUUGAAGACUCUACAGAGAUA